rnacentral:rRNA from 1 species
GACGAACGCUGGCGGCGUGCUUAACACAUGCAAGUCGAACGAAGAGCGAUGGAAGCUUGCUUCUAUCAAUCUUAGUGGCGAACGGGUGAGUAACGCGUAAUCAACCUGCCCUUCAGAGGGGGACAACAGUUGGAAACGACUGCUAAUACCGCAUACGAUCUGACCUCGGCAUCGAGGAUAGAUGAAAGGUGGCCUCUACAUGUAAGCUAUCACUGAAGGAGGGGAUUGCGUCUGAUUAGCUAGUUGGAGGGGUAACGGCCCACCAAGGCGAUGAUCAGUAGCCGGUCUGAGAGGAAGAACGGCCACAAUGGGACUGAGACACGGCCCAGACUCCUACGGGAGGCAGCAGUGGGGAAACUUCCGCAAUGGACGGAAGUCUGACGGAGCAACGCCGCGUGAGUGAUGACGGCCUUCGGGUUGUAAAGCUCUGUUAAUCGGGACGAAAGGCCUUUUUGCGAAUAGUGAGAAGGAUUGACGGUACCGGAAUAGAAAGCCACGGCUAACUACGUG